UGAGUAACCUGCCCUUAACUCUGGGAUAAGCCUGGGAAACUGGGUCUAAUACCGGAUAUGACUCCUCAUCGCAUGGUGGGGGGUGGAAAGCUUUUUGUGGUUUUGGAUGGACUCGCGGCCUAUCAGCUUGUUGGUGAGGUAAUGGCUCACCAAGGCGACGACGGGUAGCCGGCCCGAGAGGGUGACCGGCCACACUGGGACUGAGACACGGCCCAGACUCCUACGGGAGCAG
rnacentral:rRNA from 1 species